CCUACGGGUGGCAGCAGUGAGGAAUAUUGGUCAAUGGACGCGAGUCUGAACCAGCCAAGUAGCGUGAAGGAUGACUGCCCUAUGGGUUGUAAACUUCUUUUAUAUGGGAAUAAAAUGUUCCACGUGUGGGAUUUUGUAUGUACCAUAUGAAUAAGGAUCGGCUAACUCCGUGCCAGCAGCCGCGGUAAUACGGAGGAUCCGAGCGUUAUCCGGAUUUAUUGGGUUUAAAGGGAGCGUAGGUGGAUUGUUAAGUCAGUUGUUAAAGUUUGCGGCUCAACCGUAAAAUUGCCGUUGAAACUGGCAGUCUUGAGUACAGGAGAGGUGUGCGGAAUGCGUGGUGUAGCGGUGAAAUGCUUAGAUAUCACGCAGAACUCCGAUUGCGAAGGCAGCAUACUGGACUGCAACUGACACUGAGGCUCGAAAGUGUGGGUAUCAAACAGGAUUAGAUACCCGUGUAGUC
rnacentral:rRNA from 1 species